AUUGAACGCUGGCGGCAUGCCUUACACAUGCAAGUCGAACGGCAGCACGGGAGCAAUCCUGGUGGCGAGUGGCGAACGGGUGAGUAAAGUAUCGGAACGUGCCCAGUCGGGGGGGAUAACGUAGCGAAAGUUACGCUAAUACCGCAUACGAUCUAUGGAUGAAAGCGGGGGAUCGGAAGACCUCGCGCGAUUGGAGCGGCCGAUAUCAGAUUAGGUAGGUGGUGGGGUAAAGGCUAACCAAGCCGACGAUCUGUAGCUGGUCUGAGAGGACGACCAGCCACACUGGGACUGAGACACGGCCCAGACUCCUACGGGAGGCAGCAGUGGGGAAUUUUGGACAAUGGGCGAAAGCCUGAUCCAGCCAUGCCGCGUGCAGGAUGAAGGCCUUCGGGUUGUAAACUGCUUUUGUACGGAACGAAAAGGUUUGGGCUAAUAAGCUGAGCUCAUGACGGUACCGUAAGAAUAAGCACCGGCUAACUACGUGCCAGCCGCCGCAGUAA
rnacentral:rRNA from 1 species